GAUGAAGAACGUAGCGAAAUGCGAUACUUGGUGUGAAUUGCAGAAUCCCGUGAACCAUCGAGUCUUUGAACGCAAGUUGCGCCCGAAGCCAUUAGGCCGAGGGCACGCCUGCCUGGGUGUCACACAUUGUUGCCCCAAUGCCAAUCGCCUCACUUUGUAGGUAUUUGCUUGGGGUGAAUGUUGGCCUCCCGUGAGCUCUGUCUCACGGUUGGUUGAAAAUCGAGUGCAUGGUGUCGGGUGUACCAUGAUGGAUGGUGGUUGAGUGAUGCUCGAGGCCAAUCAUGGGUAACUCCACCAGAAUUGUGCUCGGUGACCCACAUCAAGUCAGGCGGGGCUACCCGCUGAGUUUAAGCAUAUCAAUAAGCGGAGGA
rnacentral:misc_RNA from 1 species